ACAAAAGAAUUAAAGAGAAGAAGAAAAAAACAAGAGAAAUUAGCACAAUUCUGCAGAAAGGUGUGAACCAUAAUCAUGGAGUGUUAAGCCAAGUGUGGCGUUGGGCCUGACAGUAAAAGCCCUCAAUGAAGUCUACAUGUUGGUAUAAAAAUCGAGCAAACAAAGGAGGCAUUGGAGGAUGUCACCAACAUGCAAGACCGAUAUUUGUCUUCGGAGAUGUUGAAGAAUCCAAAAUUGAAGAUGGAAAUGGCAAUACCAGGGGAAAAUACUCCAGGUCUGGUGUGGUAGGAUGAACAAGACUUGGCAUUGAUCAAAAUGGCAUGGCACACAAUGUUCACGAGUCAAGAUUCCUUCAUGGAGAAAUUUAAAGACUUGGUUACUUGGAGAAACACAAAGAUAUGAGAUGGCUUGUAAAUGAAGAAAAGUGGUAUUAGGGUUUAGGAUUAGUGGUUGACUUUGGUCAAAUGUUUAACCAAAACGUCAAUAGUUGACCAAAAUAUCAAUAGUUGAUCAAAAGUCAACUCUAGGUCAAAACAUGUAAUUUUUUGUAAUUUUCAUGAUUUGGACUUUGUAAUAUGAUUUGAUAUUUUGUAAUGAAAAUGGCUUCUUUGAAUUUAAA